CCUACGGGUGGCUGCAGUGAGGAAUAUUGGGCAAUGGACGAAAGUCUGACCCAGCCAUGCCGCGUGGAGGAUGAAGGCCCUCUGGGUUGUAAACUUCUUUUAUUGGGGAAGAAAAGCACUGUUUCUACGGUGUCCGACGGUACCCAAGGAAUAAGCACCGGCUAACUCCGUGCCAGCAGCCGCGGUAAUACGGAGGGUGCAAGCGUUAUCCGGAUUUACUGGGUUUAAAGGGUGCGUAGGCGGGCUAGUAAGUCAGAGGUGAAAUCUCCAAGCUU
rnacentral:rRNA from 1 species